AAGUUUGAGAUUGACAUGAAUUCCUUUUUUUUUUGUAUGAUGGACAUGAGCAGAAGCCAAAAAAUGUGGAGGUUGAUUGCACAAUAAAAAAAAAUUGUACUUUCAUUGUUCUGGCAAGCAGUAAUCAUUAUAUCGAGGGAGCGUCCUGAUGGCUUGUUGAUUUGCAAAUGUUGCAAGUAUACGUUAGAUGAUACUCUAGUCUUGUCGCUUAUAAAAUUGCGGGUGUUGUGGCCAAUCAAUUCAACCGCUC
rnacentral:lncRNA from 1 species